ACCAGAACCAGCGUUCAGUAGGAUUUUGACGGUCGGUGCGACGCCAGCGCUAAUGGUGAUUGUCCGCACAGUUCGCCAGCGGGAGUCAAUUCGAGACGUGAAGUUUUUCUGCCUCUUCGCGCAAAAAAGCGUUGUUGUGCUCUGUUGUGAUGUUUCGAGUGGCGUGAAGAGUGCGCCUCCGAUGGAUAGCGGCAGAAUCGGCACGCGAAAUAAUACGUGAGGGAGCGCACAUUAGGAUUUAUGUGAAAUUGGCUGUGAAGCCUUGGGGUACUUCCCGUAGUUAAAAAGUCAAUUUUCGGUGUUGGUUGCUCGGAGGCUGGUUUCGUAAAAGGAUUUACAGUCGAUACGUGUGCGGAUGGCGAAACGUGAGAUGCUGACAAGUGAAACUAAGCAAAAGCUUGCUUAGUGAGAUAUUUAAAUUAAGUGUUUCUCGUUUGAUCGCAAUUUUGAAGUGGUUCAUGAUGAACGUAAUCAAGCCGGUGUCUGCUGGGGAUAGCUGUGUGGAAUAAAUAUUUAAAUAGUGUGUAUAUUUCGGAAUGGACAAAUACAUUAACAGUGGAAAAACAGUUCACAAUCAGCCAAUGAACAAACAUGUCCCGGGGAAAUGUUUGUCUUAAUAACAAACAGUCGGUGCCCGAACGUGACUGAUUUGGAAAUUGGUCUGCAGCUGAUUUAAAACCAAUUAGCGCCAAGUCUGGGCGUGAAGGGAAAAGUGACAAGCCCACUAUUGAGAGCUGGACGGAAGUGCAGUGCCAACAGCGGAAAGUUCGUGUUCCCGGCAGAUGGGAAUUGUGAUGUGACGCGCAUAACUGAUUGCAGAUGAGGUGGUGUUUUGGCGAGUUAUAAAAUGAAGCACUAUGUUCAACGUUCGGCGAAGUGCAUCAGAUGCGCCGAAUGUCGAUGUUUAACACUUGACAGAGUGAUAAUCAGGUGUCAGUGAUUGUGUGAAUUCUAUGGAUUAUUGGCGAUCAUCCAAGCUUAUUUAUCAGGAUUAUUGAAUAAUCAUGCGUACAUUUGGUGCAACCACUGUUGAAUCGAACUAAUCAACAACGAGAAACGUCUUACCAAUAGCCAAUAGAAAAUGCUUCCCACAGUGCGGAGUUUCAUCGAAAACUGCAAAUCCAAUUAAAAAGAAAACAGGAAAAUGCAGAGUGCAAUCAUCGGUGGACUGUUUUUGCUAGCCAAUUUGCAUUUCAACCAACAUAAGGC